UUCCUGCGUGAUAGACUGUUUACCUUACCCACCGACGUAGAGAGUGGUGUACGAGAAUGGAGAGGUGGCUCGCUUCACUUCUUUUAUUGUGUUUGUUCUUCAUUGUUGGUGUGUCAAGCAUCAAGUGUUUCACCUGUAACUACCCUGACGAAAAAUGUGGAGACCAGUUUGCCUACACAAAUUCUGAUGCCAGAAACUGUAAAGGUGCCUGCGUGACGCGAAGAGGAACACGUGAAGUUCUGGAAAAAGAUUGAAAAAAGAUCAGGUAGACAAUGAAAGUAACAGAGUGGAAGUUUACAGGGGAUGUUAUUCAAACCGACACACCUCUUGCAUCACUUCAGAUUAUGUUGGAAUGAAGGUUAAAGAAUGCUAUUGUAACGGAAAUUACUGUAACCAUAGCAACAGUGUUACAGUGUCUGCUGUAAGUUUAGUCAUUACCUCCAUCACCGUUCUGUACAAAUUGUUAUGAUGGUCCAACACCGCAAGUUAAGCAACCAGAGGUAUAUUACAUAAAUUCUGUGCCAUACAGGUAGCCCCAUAGUCUGAGGCUAGGAGCUUCGAGAUUUCCCAUUAGGACUAGUGGUUUCAAAAACGCCUGGCUUACUGAUAGCAAAACUUAACAUUUCAUCAUGUUGAGUAAUAUUGAGUGAGUGGAGUUCGCUCUUAGACUAGUAAAAUUGGAAACGACUAGCCCGACGGACUGGCGGUUUUUAAAAUAAAUUUCUAGCCCUGUAAGCUCGAAACUUCUUGUAAUGCGGGUUUGAAAUUUCUUUGUAAUUUAAAUACAUAUCAUUUCCCAUUUAUGUCGUUAAAUAAUGAAGUUUAAGAAAAAUACAAAUUGAAUUUGUGUGAAAUUAAGAAAUUUACGA